UACGGCUCAGUAACACGUGGACAACCUGCCUUAGGACGGGGAUAAACCCGGGAAACUGGGGAUAAUACCCUAUAGGUUACAGAUGCUGGAAUGCUCUGUAACCGAAAGCUCCGGCGCCUUAGGAUGGAUCUGCGGCCGAUUAGGUUGUUGUCGGGGUAACGGCCCAACAAGCCAGUAAUCGGUACGGGUUGUGGGAGCAAGAGCCCGGAGUUGGAUUCUGAGACACGAAUCCAGGCCCUACGGGGCGCAGCAGGCGCGAAAACUUUACAAUGCGGGCAACCGUGAUAAGGGAACCUCGAGUGCCUGUAUAUGCAGGCUGUCUGGGUGUCUAAAACACACCUAAAGAAAGGGCCGGGCAAGACCGGUGCCAGCCGCCGCGGUAAUACCGGCGGCUCGAGUGGUGGCCACUUUUAUUGGGCUUAAAGCGUUCGUAGCUGGGUUAUUAAGUCCCUUGGGAAAUCCGACGGCUUAACCGUCGGGCGUCUAAGGGAUACUGGCAAUCUUGGAACCGGGAGAGGUGAGGGGUACUUCGGGGGUAGGAGUGAAAUCCUGUAAUCCUCGAGGGACCACCUGUGGCGAAGGCGCCUCACCAGAACGGCUUCGACAGUGAGGGACGAAAGCUGGGGGAGCAAACCGGAUUAGAUACCCGGGUAGUCCCAGCCGUAAACGAUGUGCGUUAGGUGUAUCGGUGACCACGAGUCACCGAGGUGCCGAAGGGAAACCGUGAAACGUACCGCCUGGGAAGUACGGUCGCAAGGCUGAAACUUAAAGGAAUUGGCGGGGGAGCAC
rnacentral:rRNA from 1 species